AUUGCUUUUUGGAAGAUGUUUAAAUGCCACCCUUAGUAAGGAGGUCGUGGGUCCAGACAAAGUCAACAGUCUUUAGUUAUAUUUGGCCUUGUUUCGUUGAGAAAUUUAAAGAUAGCCUGUAUGGUGUCUACCAGCUAAGUGUCAGGAAGCAAAGGUGGUUUAGAAAUCUCAAAGGGUAGAUCUCAGCACUAGAGGGCGUUAUCCUGGAUCCAGUUUUCAACACUUUAGCCAGGUGACUUAAUGGGGUCUCAGGCCAGCUUCCCGGUCAGAUCAGCAUAGGUAAACUCUGGAUACCCAAGCCUACACCCAGCUUUUGGUACCAUGUCAGUGUGGGCGCAGACAAAUGGAGGUCCCACCAAGAUCGGGAAAGUGAAGAAUUUUUCUGACGAGGUCAUCCCAUGGCACCAUGAAGCGGGAGACAGUGAAGGACACUGCGGGAAUUGAAAGCAUGUGCAAAGAAAAAUAAAGAUGGGUUAGUGAUUGGACAACCUGACUUGCUUUAAGCUUUUAGACCUUGUGGGACAGAGAACAUGGAGACUAUAGGAAAUGCCUUCAGAAAAUCAAAGAGAAGUUAUGACUCUUCUCUUUCCUUUAACAUGAAAAGUUAUUCUGACUCAACCAUAGGCUGGUCAAUCCAAUAUUGGAAAUAACAGUUUUCAUUUGGAAGAUUGGUUCUGGACAUUUUUAGAGACAUUUCAAAGUUCACAAUUGUCUUGUAUGAAGUCACAUUGGCAGUGAAAAAAGACUGGUACAGGAGCUGGACUUUAAACAAAUGUUAGCACAUGUGCUAAAACUGCUAAUCUUUUAUUUAUUGGUCAUGUUAAAGUUACUUUUGUUUCUUCUACAAUAUUUAAUGUAAGUUACAUUGAUUGUACACUGUCUAAUUUUGUUACUAUUGAAGCCUGGCAUAUACCAGCUUUUGUUUCAUUGCUUGUGAGUAUUAUAGGACCUUGAUAUUCUGAAAGGCUUACAAAUAUUGGAAGAAGUGAGUCAGGCUUUAAACAGAAGCAAUAGGAUAGUGGGUUUGAUUAUUGCUGGUAUAGUGGUAUAGCUAUUUAAUUAAUAACACUAUUGCUUAGACCCAAGAAGUUAUGUUACUUUUGUUAUUCAUUUAACAAAAAUGUUAAUGUUAAUAUUUUGAGUAUUCAAGAGGAUUUAUACGUUUGGAACAAUGGAUUGAUGAUCUUGGUUUUACCCCAAUGCUGGAGAUUCUUCGCUGGAGCCAUCUUCGUGAGGCUGCUGGGGACCAGGGAAUUCUGCCCUGGUUAUGUGGAUCUCGGGCAUGGUUCCAUUGCCUCUUGGUCAUUCUGGAGAGAAAAUCAGCUGAUCCUGAACCUUCAUGGGAAAGACUUUGGAAUCUUUGCUGCUAUUGUAGCAGCCACUGUGGCUGCAGUGUCUGGGAUUGCCCUCCCCCACGAUGAUGUUAAGGCAAGCACAGUAUAUAAACUUUCAGGAGAAGUUGCUGACAAUUGGGAAUUCUAAAUUUAAAUCAACAGUCAAUGCUCUUACAGGAACAGCUUGACAAUGGCCCUCAGUAUUAUGGCCCUCUGGCGAUGCAGUAGUCAGCCUUGUUCUUCUUAUCACAUGUGUAGACAGCACUCCUAGUCCCAGGCAGCGACUAAGUGGGUGUUGCUCUCCUUGGCAGGAGACAAUCCCUCUGCCCAAAUCUGGCUCAGUCUUUAUGAGAAGCAGUUAGCCAAUGACGGGCAACUCUUUGGGGCCAAUCCUCACCUAAGACAGGGGCUCUACGACUGGCAGAGAGUCCCAGAGAUGGGCAAGAGGUUUUCACCGCAAAGUGUCCUAAGACAGGCACUGCUUAAUAAAAAAAUGAAAAGGGGGGAUUUGUUGGACCCUCCUGGGCCCCUGUCAGUGUUUGACCCCUGCUGAAGCCUCACUGAUGCUUGUGGAAACUUUUUGUUCCUAACAAAGGAACACCCUGGCCCUGAACGGCAUGCCUAGGUAGCACACCUGGGCAAUAACACUGCUAAUCGGUUCCUGUCUUUUGUUCCUCUUUCUUGUCCCUGAGGGUGUAAGCUGGUUUUUCCAUUGUGCUUCCUGGAAUUUUCCAUCCGGUGAACUUUGGGUAUAUAUUUGGUGAAUCAAGUAAAAUAUUUGGCAUUCUCGUAACAUAAAUGACCCGAGUUUGUGUUUUUUUCUUAAACCUCACAGGCCUAUGCCCGGCUCUCGGUACCGUGUCAGUGCCUGCACCGACAAUGAAGGACUUUGUUUCCCUAAUUUCUUUUCCAGCCUGUUUAUUUUUUUGUAUAAAGGAGGGUUACUGAGAUUUGUUUUGUUUGAGUUAAUUUUGUAUCAAGCCACUUUGCUGAACGUGUUUAUCAACUGAUGGCAUUCUAUGGUAGGAUUUCUGGGAUUGCUUAUGUAUAACUAUCAUAGUAUCCACAAAUAGUGAUGCUUUGACUUCUUUCCAAUUUGUAUCCUCUUGAUCUUCUUUUGCUGUCUUAUGGCUCUAGCUAGAAUUUCAAUUACUAUAUUGGGUAGAGAGCAAGAAUAAAGGGCAGCCUUGCCUUGUCCCUGACUUUACUGGAAUUACUUUUAGUUUAUUUCCAUUUCAUUUGAUGCUGGCUCCUGGCUUGUUGUAUAUUGGUAGUAGAAUGGAUAAAGAAAUUUGGUACAUCUAUACAAUGAAAUACUAUUCAGCUAUUAAAACGAACUCUGCGGCCAAAUGGAUGGAACUUGAGAAUAUCAUCCUGAGUUAGGUAACCCCGAGCCAGAAAGACACAUGUGGUAUGUACUAACUUCUAAGUGGACGUUAGCCAGGUGCAGAACAAGCAUGUUCCAAUCCAGAGACACUGGGUAAUAAGGAGGUCCCAUGGGAGGAUGUGUGACUCUCGCUCAGAAGGGGAAACUAGUCAUCAGAGGUAGCUGGUGAGAGGGAACUGAGAGGAGAGGAGGUAAGGAGGGGAACAGGGAUGAUAUCCAGUGUGGGGAUGACCAAGCCAGCUCAGUCAGUCAACAGGUUCUACACAGCAGGGGUGAGGAUUGAAAAGAAAAAAGACAGUUAGACAACAUUUGACAUGACUGCAGCCAGUUCUGAGGCUGAAACAGAUGUUUUAUUUUCCAAUUUGCUUUUAUACUACUUUAAUUACAUGUAGAAUAAUAAGAACAAGCAAGGCUUCUGUAAAUACCUUUCUAGGGGUUAGUCAGGAUGACCUAGACAAAAGGACUGCCACACAUGCUUCUGCUGAGCCUGCUCUGAGCUUUACAUUAGCUCAAAUGCAAAGGAUCUUAAUUAGGGCCAUUUCCUGAGCCCAAGCCUAAAGCCAGACUCGUGCCCUAGGCUUAUUCCUUUGUCCUGAUAAGGUCAGAUUCCUGCCAAGUGUCUAGAGGUGAAGCAAGAGGCCCCAAAAGGCUCUCUGCAUGGGGAGAAGAUGGGAAUGGAAAGGACUAGAAGCAAGAAUGGAAAUUGGUAGGGGAAUUUGGUGACUGACUGGAAGCCUGGGGUCGGCAACAAUAUGGAGAGUCUAGGGGUGACCCUACCUGAGAGAGUGGGAUUAGAGACUGAAUCAGACACCUCCUGUAGACAGGCAGGACUUCCAGAGGAGAGAGGCAGACGUCCACCCACCCACAAAACCUUCAACCCAAAAUUUGUUUUGCCUACAAGACGUGCAGGGACAAAAAUGGAGCAGAGACUGGGGGAACAGAUAGCCAGUGGCUGCCCCAGCCUGAGACCCAUCUGUCUUAGCUAGGGUCUUACUGCUGUGAACAGACACCAUGAUCAAUGUAGUUUUAUAAA
rnacentral:sRNA from 1 species